GAUGAACGCUAGCGGCAGGCCUAACACAUGCAAGUCGAGGGAGAAGCCUUUCGGGGCAGAAACCGGCGCACGGGUGCGUAACGCGUAUGCAACCUACCUUUCACAGGGGGAUAGCCCGAAGAAAUUUGGAUUAAUACCCCAUAAUAUUGUUGGAUGGCAUCAUCUGAUAAUUAAAACUGCGGUGGUGAAAGAUGGGCAUGCGUCCUAUUAGCUAGUUGGAGUGGUAACGGCACCCCAAGGCUACGAUAGGUAGGGGUCCUGAGAGGGAGAUCCCCCACACUGGUACUGAGACAGGGACCAGACUGCUACGGGAGGCAGCAGUGAGGAAUAUUGGUCAAUGGUCGGAAGACUGAACCAGCCAUGCCGCGUGCAGGAAGAAUGCCUUAUGGGUUGUAAACUGCUUUUAUAUGGGAAGAAUAAGGUGUACGUGUACAUUGAUGACGGUACCAUAUGAAUAAGCAUCGGCUAACUCCGUG
rnacentral:rRNA from 1 species